CCUACGGGGGGCAGCAGUGAGGAAUAUUGGUCAAUGGGCGCGAGCCUGAACCAGCCAAGUAGCGUGAAGGAUGACUGCCCUACGGGUUGUAAACUUCUUUUAUAAAGGAAUAAAGUGAGGCACGUGUGCCUUUUUGUAUGUACUUUAUGAAUAAGGAUCGGCUAACUCCGUGCCAGCAGCCGCGGUAAUACGGAGGAUCCGAGCGUUAUCCGGAUUUAUUGGGUUUAAAGGGUGCGCAGGCGGGCCUUUAAGCCGGCGGUGAAAUCGCGGGGCUCAACCCCGCCGAGCCGUCGGAACUGGGGGCCUGGAGUGCGGCGGAGGCAUGCGGAAUGCGCGGUGUAGCGGUGAAAUGCAGAGAUAUCGCGCAGAACCCCGAUUGCGAAGGCAGCGGGCCGUGCCGCCACUGACGCUGAGGCACGAAAGCGCGGGGAUCGAACAGGAUUAGAUACCCCUGUAGUC
rnacentral:rRNA from 1 species